rnacentral:misc_RNA from 1 species
UUCGCUAUAGUCUAGGCGGUC